rnacentral:sRNA from 1 species
AUAUAAGAUGGGAUAUCUAUAACAUUUGAUGGAAAGCAAACGUAAUCUGAUUAUAUCAUCGUGUCUGUUUUCGUGCAAUAUAAAAAGAACCUGGUAAAACUGUCCAGGUUCUUUCUUAA